rnacentral:tRNA from 1 species
GUGGGUAUAGCUUAAGUGGCAGAGCACAUACUUGGCAUACACGAGGUCCUGGGUUCAAUCCCCAGUACCUCCA